AUGCACUUGAGUAUACCACCGGGCAAUAUGAAAGGGACAAUGGAGGGAGAAGCGAGCCCUGAGCUGAAACUCGAAGGCGACAUACCUGCCCGGUAUGUCAUGCCGCAGCAGGACCGCCCGUCCGCUGCCGCAGGUGUUGCGCCUAUCCCCGUCGUCGACCUCGGCCGCCUAUCCAGGCCUGACGCAGAUGGUGGUGCCGUCGAGGAGGAAGCGAAACUCCGGUGGGCGCUCGAGACCUGGGGCUUCUUCAUGAUUACUAACCAUGGUAUAGAGGCCUCUCUUAUGGAUGCGAUGAUGAAUGCAUCGAAGGAGUUCUUUGGGCAGCCGACUGAAGAGAAGCAAAAAUACAACAACAUAAUUGAUGGCAAGCGUUUUCGUCUUGAAGGGUACAGAAGUGAGCUGCUGCAAUCUGAAGGCCAGACCCUCGAUUGGUCCUGUCGUUUAUCUCUGCAAGUAGAACCGGAAGGGGAGAGAAGUUUCCACCUUUGGCCCAAGUAUCCCAAAUCUUUGAGGGAUGUGCUACUUCAGUACGCGUCAAGAACCAAGAUAAUAAAAGAUUGUAUCAUGCGAGCCCUCGCAAAUCUUCUAGAGCUCGAUGAGGAUUACUUCAUCAAUAGGACCACAACCAGGGCCCGAGCAUUAGCUAGGCUAGGCUACUACCCUCCAUGUCCGAGGCCUGACCUUGUUUUGGGCUUCAAGCCUCACUAUGAUGGUGGCGCCCUUUCAAUCCUUUUCAUCGAGGAGAACGUCGGUGGCUUGCAAGUUCUGAGAAAUGGAAAAUGGUACAAUGUUCUAGCCAAGCCUUGUACAUUGUUGAUCAACAUAGCAGAGUGCAUUGAGAUAAUGAGUAAUGGCAUCUUCAAGAGCCCACCACAUAGGGUCUUGACAAAUGCAGAGAAGGAAAGGACCUCAGUAGCUAUAUUCUAUGGCGUGGAUGUGGAAACGGUGGUUGAACCAGCACCUGGUUUGUUGGAUGAGAAGCGACUGGCAAGAUUCAAGAAAAUAAAGGCCGAGGAUUACUAUGGUACUGUCUUUGAGCAUUUCCGCCAAGGAAAAAGGCUUAUCGACACCUUGAUAAUUUAA
rnacentral:rRNA from 1 species